AGUGAACGCUGGCGGUAGGCCUAACACAUGCAAGUCGAACGGCAGCACAGUAAGAGCUUGCUCUUACGGGUGGCGAGUGGCGGACGGGUGAGGAAUACAUCGGAAUCUACUUUUUCGUGGGUGAUAACGUAGGGAAACUUACGCUAAUACCGCAUACGACCUACGGGUGAAAGCAUGGGAUCUUCGGACCUCGCGCGAUUGAAUGAGCCGAUGUCGGAUUAGCUAGUUGGGGGGGUAAAGGCCCACCAAGGCGACGAUCCGUAGCUGGUCUGAGAGGAUGAUCAGCCACACUGGAACUGAGACACGGUCCAGACUCCUACGGGAGGCAGCAGUGGGGAAUAUUGGACAAUGGGCGCAAGCCUGAUCCAGCCAUGCCGCGUGGGUGAAGAAGGCCUUCGGGUUGUAAAGCCCUUUUGUUGGGAAAGAAGAGCAGCAGGUUAAUACCCCGCUGUUCUGACGGUACCCAAAGAAUAAGCACCGGCUAACUUCGUG
rnacentral:rRNA from 1 species